GUCCCGCUUCCGCAUUCCGCGAGCUCACCGAUCACCGGCGUGACGUCACCGGCGGACUCUGACCGCCUCACCUGACAAACAUCGACAGAUUUGUCUGUAAGUGUUCAGACACAAGACACAUGAAUCCUUGAACAGCAAAAAAUACCUUUGAACGGCAAAAAUCAGUUUUUUGAACCUAAAUGUGGUCAUUAAUCAUCCCCUGGGCCUCUCUCCAUCACAGGCAAUAUUAAUGUUAUGGCGGGGCAGGCAAGG